rnacentral:rRNA from 1 species
CUGCUGCCUCCCGUAGGAGUCUGGGCCGUAUCUCAGUCCCAAUGUGGCCGAUCACCCUCUCAGGUCGGCUACGCAUCGUCGCCUUGGUGGGCCGUUACCUCACCAACUAGCUAAUGCGACGCGAGCCCAUCUCAUACCGGAUUUCUCCUUUUACCCCUCUACCAUGCGGUAGUGUGGUCUUAUACCGUAUUAACCGAAGUUUCCCUCGGGUAUCCCGUUGUAUGAGGCAGCUUGCUCACGCGUUACUCACCCGUUCG